rnacentral:rRNA from 1 species
CGCACUUGGGCUAGAGUAGUGCUGGGAUGGGUGACCUCCCGGGAAGUCCUAGUGUUGCACCCU